UACGUAGGGGGCAAGCGUUGUCCGGAAUCAUUGGGCGUAAAGCGCGUGUAGGCGGUUCGAUCAGUCUGCUGUGAAAGUCCGGGGCUCAACCCCGGAAUGCCGGUGGAUACUGUCGAGCUAGAGUGCGGAAGAGGCGAGUGGAAUUCCUGGUGUAGCGGUGAAAUGCGCAGAUAUCAGGAGGAACACCAAUUGCGAAGGCAGCUCGCUGGGACGUUACUGACGCUGAGACGCGAAAGCGUGGGGAGCAAACAGG
rnacentral:rRNA from 1 species